rnacentral:rRNA from 1 species
UACGGAGGAGGCAAGCGUUGUCCGGAAUUAUUGGGCGUAAAGAGCGCGCAGGCGGCCUAUCAAGUCAGAUGUGAAAUAACCAGGCUUAACCUGGUGGGGUCAUUUGAAACUGGUAGGCUAGAGUACAGCAGAGGAUAGCGGAAUUCCCGGUGUAGUGGUGAAAUGCGUAGAUAUCGGGAGGAACACCAGUGGCGAAGGCGGCUAUCUGGGCUGCAACUGACGCUGAGGCGCGAAGGCUAGGGGAGCAAACAGG